rnacentral:rRNA from 1 species
AUUGAACGCUGGCGGCAUGCCUUACACAUGCAAGUCGAACGGCAGCGCGGGGCAACCUGGCGGCGAGUGGCGAACGGGUGAGUAAUAUAUCGGAACAUACCCUAGAGUGGGGGAUAACGUAGCGAAAGUUACGCUAAUACCGCAUACGCACUAAGGUGGAAAGUGGGGGAUCUUCGGACCUCAUGCUCAUGGAGUGGCCGAUAUCUGAUUAGCUAGUUGGUGAGGUAAAGGCUCACCAAGGCGACGAUCAGUAGCUGGUUUGAGAGAACGACCAGCCACACUGGAACUGAGACACGGUCCAGACUCCUACGGGAGGCAGCAGUGGGAAUUUGGACAAGUGGGGGCAACCCUGAUCCAGCAAUGCCGCGUGAGUGAAGAAGGCC